AACGAACGCUGGCGGCAUGCUUAACACAUGCAAGUCGAACGAGAACUUCGGGACUCGUGGCGCACGGGAGCGUAACGCGGGAGAACCGGCCCUUAGGUUCGGAAUAACCCCUCGAAAGGGGUGCAAAAACCGGAAAAUGUCUUCGGACCAACGUUUUAUCGCCUUUGGGUGGGCCCGCGUUGGAUUAGCUAGUUGGUAGGGUAAAAGCCUACCAAGGCGACGAUGCAUACCUGGUCUGAGAGGAUGAUCAGCCACACUAGGACUGGGACACGGCCCAGACUCCUCCGGGUGGCCGCAGGGCUGAAUAUUGGACGCCGCGCGAAUGCCUGCUCCCUCCCUGUUGCGUGACUGAUUUAGGCCUUAGGGAUGUAAAUCUCUCUUACCCGGGAUGAUAAUGACAGUACCGGGAGAAUAAGCUCCGGCUAACUCCGUG
rnacentral:rRNA from 1 species